CAGGGGGGAGGAUUACCAUAAGCACUAUCUUCCGGAGUUUCAGAGUUCACCUGCAGGAGUGGAGGAGGUCACAGGAAGCACCACAUGGAGGGGCUGGGAAUUUGACAGCAAGAGUGCAAGGUAUGACCAUUGUUGCUGCUGUGCUUUGCAUCAGCAAUAGUUCA
rnacentral:lncRNA from 1 species